rnacentral:rRNA from 1 species
CCCUUAGAUGUUCUGGGCCGCACGCGCGCUACACUGAUGCAUUCAACGAGUCUAAAACCUGCUCUGAUAGGGGUGGGUAAUCUUUUGAAUGUGCAUCGUGAUUGGGAUAGAUGAUUGCAAUUUUUCAUCUUCAACGAGGAAUGCCUAGUAAACGCAAGUCAUCAGCUUGCAUUGAUUACGUCCCUGCCCUUUGUACACACCGCCCGUCGCUCCUACCGAUUGAAUGGUCCGGUGAAGCGUUCGGACCGUGGCCUUUGGACGGUUCGCCGUCUGUUGGCUGCGGGAAGUUCGUUAAACCUUAUCAUUUAGAGGAAGGAGAAGUCGUAACA